rnacentral:rRNA from 1 species
UACGUAGGCAGCAAGCGUUGUUCGGAGUUACUGGGCGUAAAGAGUGCGUAGGCGGUGCUCCAAGUCUGGUGUGAAAUCUCCCGGCUUAACUGGGAGGGUGCGCCGGAUACUGGAGUGCUUGAGUGUGGGAGAGGAAAGCGGAAUUCCUGGUGUAGCGGUGAAAUGCGUAGAUAUCAGGAGGAACACCGGUGGUGUAGACGGCUUUCUGGACCACUACUGACGCUGAGGCACGAAAGCGUGGGGAGCAAACAGG